GGGAUAGCUCAGUUGGUAGAGCUGUGACUCAGUCUCAGGGUCUUGGGUUUGAACCCCAUGUUGGGCCA